AUGGAUAAACUGGACGAUGUUUCAAUUGCCACACACAAAGCUGUUAAUAUUGCAGAAGACUUACUACCUUUGCUUUCUCCUGAUGACAUCAAAGAUCUGUUUCCUGGUCCUGAAAAUUUGGUGAGGCGCCGGGCUAUAUGGCUUGUUGUGAAUAAAGAUGAAAAGGUGGAUGCUGCUCCUGAAAUUCAGCAGUCACCUCCCACUGGAGGCAGCGACCUUUCAAAAGAGGAGGCCAGUAUUUGCAAGAUUUGACCCCUUCCUACAAAAAAGCCAUUGGCGAGUAGAAGUCCUUCACUGAGUGAGUGAGUCUCUUUGUUUCUUGUGUGUUUGUUUCUUGACACCGCCUCACUUUCUAUCUCAUGUAAGACUUUCAAAGAAAGUCAAAGUUCUGUUUCAUAAAAGCUUUAUCACUGUUAGCCACAUUUGUUGGUGAAAUUGAAAACUUUUCCUGUGGGAUAAUGUGCAAUAACAGCAGCUGCAAAGUUGUAUUAAUUGUUAUAGUAUGCUGCAACAAUAGCAGAUAUAACAUUCUGUUUUUUGAUGGAUGUUUAAUUAAGCAAUUGUAUUGCAAAGUGAAUAAAAAUAUUAAAAAUGAGAAUGUUUUGGUGUCUUGAUUUAAGACAAAGUCACUUAUUCUUAUAAUGCUAUUUGAAGAAAUUGUGUCUUAUUUUAACUACUUUUAUACUUAUUAUUAAUCCCAGAUUAAGGUGUAAUUUCUUAAAGUUUACUCAGUCGAGAGACCAAAAUUCUAAUUUUAAGUAAUUUAAUCCUAAAUUAAAGCUGCAAGCAGCAUUGAGCGGGACCUCACACUCCACGCAACUCAGGGCGUGCUGCAGCCGCGUCGCGCGCCGUGGUAACACGUACGGAUGAAAAUCUCACGUAAAUCAGCUCAAAAUCGCCACGCAGCACUUACUUCCUGUUGCCAGUAGGUGGCUCUAUCACUAUGUCUGAAUGUUGUCAUGUAGACAUGUUCAAAGUUAUCAAACACGUGAAGUUUCAUUGAGAUUGGACCACGUACACUGAAGUUAUGAGGACGUGUUCAGGGCAAAACUGUUUCAGAAUAUUUUAAGUUUAUUGGAGAUUGUACAUUGCACACUGAAGUUAUGGGCACUAUUUUAUGGCGAAUCUGCUGAAACUGGCACGCGGUUUGAUGUACAGUCACAAAUAGCACAACUUUUCAUCAGCAACAUAUUUUGACUGUACUGAUCAAUUUAGAAGUAGAUUUGAUAAAUUACCUAGGAGCAGUUAAUAAUAAAA
rnacentral:lncRNA from 1 species